UCCUCAAUACCUUGACUACGGUUUGCAUUCGAGUUUUCGUUCGUUGGUGAAAGUCGUCCAUCUUCACUCAUAUCAUCCAAGUCGCUGCCCCUGGAAAGGUAAUACUUUCCUUUCGCUGGCAUUUUCUCGCGUCCAAACGUUAUGUGUUUAAAUAAGUAUUUUUCGUUGAUUUAUCUCUGUUUCUUCUUCGUUUCAACCUUAUGGAUUUGGGUUGAUGAUUCAGCUGGCAAUUGUGGUCGUUUAGAGUCGUUUCCUUACCUGUUUAAACUUUCAUGUUUGAAUAUUUCCAUCCUCUAUUGGUUUUAGCUGUAUACGGGAGUUGGGAUUUAUGAAUCGUCUAAAUCUUUAGAGUAAAGGAUUUGUGUCAUGACCCAAAAUGAGCCGUGAGUGGCACCCACAUUUACGUGGGCGAACCAACACAUUUAAACCCCAACAUAUACCAACAGUUCAACUAUAAAUAAUAUAAAUAAUGCGGAAGCUCCAAAACUCAUUAACGAUACCAAUUAAAUCAACUUCUAAAGUUAAAUACUUAUUAUUCCCAAAAUUUGGAAGUCAUCACACCAAGAACAUCUAUCCUCGAAUUUCUAAAUCUAAGAGUAUUUAAGAAGCUAAAAAUAGUAAAAAGAUAGUCCAUGUCCUAACUUCAAGACAUCACGACGUGAAGGAGAGAAUCCAGCACGAGCUAGGAAUAAUAGCUCACCCUGAAAUCUGAUGUG
rnacentral:misc_RNA from 1 species